GGACCUUAAACAACUAUAUGAAUGUGGAUUCCGUAAUUUCCUCGGAGUCUCCAUGCCAGUGUAAUGGUAUUUCCCGCGGUUAUUUUUGUACAAUAAAAUACGGUAUAACUACAAUUUUGCAAAGACUCAAUCAGUUUUCCAAGCAAGUCAAUACAUGCAAUAACAAACAAAAUUUGGGACAAGACAAUGUUUAAAAAACGUGAGAAAAAUGGACUCUUCAGAAGAAAUUGUCACUUGGAAAUGUCUUGGGCAGAUUAAAAAGAAGAAGUAACUGUGCCAGGAAGCAGUUCCAGUCAUUUGCAGCAACAGGAC